GAUGAACGCUGGCGGCGUGCCUAAUACAUGCAAGUCGAGCGAACGGACGAUAAGCUUGCUUCUCUGAUGUUAGCGGCGGACGGGUGAGUAACACGUGUAUAACCUACCUAUAAGACUGGGAUAACUUCGGGAAACCGGAGCUAAUACCGGAUAAUAUUUUGAACCGCAUGGUUCAAAAGUGAAAGACGGUCUUGCUGUCACUUAUAGAUGGAUCCGCGCUGCAUUAGCUAGUUGGUAAGGUAACGGCUUACCAAGGCAACGAUGCAUAGCCGACCUGAGAGGGGGGUCGGCCACACUGGAACUGAGACACGGUCCAGACUACUACGGGAGGCAGCAGUAGGGAAUGUUACGCAAUGGGCGAAAGCAUGACGGAGCAACGCCGCGUGAGUGAUGAAGGUCUUCGGAUCGUAAAACUCUGUUAUUAGGGAAGAACAUAUGUGUAAGUAAAUGUGCACAUCUUGACGGUACCUAAUAAGAAAGCCACGGCUAACUACGUG
rnacentral:rRNA from 1 species